rnacentral:rRNA from 1 species
CCCUUAGAUGUUCUGGGCUGCACGCGUGCUACACUGAUAUUGCCAAUAUGUCAUUCUUAUCCGAAAUGGAUUGGGUAAUCAAGUAAUGAAAUUUCAUGCUUGGAAUCGGUAAUUGCAAUUUUAUCGUGAACAAGGAAUUCCUAGUAAGCACUAGUCAUCAGCUAAUGUUGAUUAUGUCCCUGCCCUUUGUACACACCGCCCGUCGCUACUACUGAUUGGGUGUUCAAGUGAGAUGCUUAGACCCUUGUUGCAUGGUUCAUUAUUGUGCUCCGAAAGGAAAAAGUUUCAAGCUUGAGUGUCUAGAGGAAGUAAAAGUCGUAACA